AGAGCGAACGCUGGCGGCAGGCUUAACACAUGCAAGUCGAACGGGCACUUCGGUGCUAGUGGCAGACGGGUGAGUAACGCGUGGGAACGUGCCUUUCGGUUCGGAAUAAUUCAGGGAAACUUGGACUAAUACCGGAUACGCCCUUCGGGGGAAAGAUUUAUCGCCGAAAGAUCGGCCCGCGUCUGAUUAGCUAGUUGGUGAGGUAAAGGCUCACCAAGGCGACGAUCAGUAGCUGGUCUGAGAGGAUGAUCAGCCACAUUGGGACUGAGACACGGCCCAAACUCCUACGGGAGGCAGCAGUGGGGAAUAUUGGACAAUGGGCGCAAGCCUGAUCCAGCCAUGCCGCGUGAGUGAUGAAGGCCUUAGGGUUGUAAAGCUCUUUUGUCCGGGAAGAUAAUGA
rnacentral:rRNA from 1 species